rnacentral:lncRNA from 1 species
GUUUUCUUUGUCGAGCUCUCAGUUAUAUUGGUGUCCAUGAAUUUUUUUUGGUCAAUCCAACCUAGUCCACAUUCUCUCAUUUUCCCAAUGUAUCAUUAACAUCUUUCUCUAGCAUUGGGUCAAGCACAACUCAGCUCAACACACCUCUCUUUCUUUCUCCCAACUCCUCGCUGCCCCUAUCUCCCUCUCUCUUUCACAUCAACAUGCAACUCUCGCAUACAUGGUGUCACCCUCCUCUUUCCCCCAAUGCA